rnacentral:rRNA from 1 species
UACGUAGGUGGCAAGCGUUGUCCGGAUUUACUGGGCGUAAAGAGCGCGCAGGCGGUCGUUCAAGUCGCGUGUGAAAGCCCCCGGCUCAACUGGGGAGGGUCACGCGAUACUGAUCGACUCGAAGGCAGGAGAGGGUAGUGGAAUUCCGAGUGUAGAGGUGAAAAUUCGUAGAUAUUCGGAGGAACACCAGUGGCGAAGGCGGCUCACUGGUCCAUUACUGACGCUGAGGUGCGAAAGCGUGGGGAGCAAACAGG